rnacentral:rRNA from 1 species
GACAGAGCCUCGAGCGUUAGGCGGAAUCACUGGGCUUAAAGCGUGUGUAGGCGGACCCCUAAGUGUCUUGUGAAAUCCCACGGCUCACCCGUGGAACUGCUGGGCAUACUGGGGGUCUUGGGCCGUUCAGGGGUGACUGGAACAAGCGGUGGAGCGGUGAAAUGCGUAGAUAUCGCUUGGAACGCCGAAGGUGAAAACAGGUCGCUGGGGACGCGCCGACGCUGAGACACGAAAGCCAGGGGAGCAAACGGG